AUAGAUCCGACCAUUUGAUUUCUUGGUUAUCCAAAACUCAAACUUAAUAUCCGAAACAUGCUAUUAAAUUUGCUAGAGAAGUCUAAACAAAGUAAAGGCAGUGUUUACACUUUUUUUCAGUUUCCAAGGAAGCUUGGCGACGUCAAAAGGAUGUUUGGCUUCGUCCUUCAAGUCUCCGACUCUGCUACCUUCGUGGAGAAGUCCUUCAAGGUCUGGCAAGAGAGGAUGAACUCGACAAGGGAGGAAAAGAAGGUCUGCUGCUGCUCUCGUAUCUCUCUGGUUUUUACGUGAAUAAAUGAUGAAAAUUGUGAAGCAGACAACCUCUAUUUAUAGUGAACACGCCAAACCCUAGUUGUGCUCCUAGCCCUUCAUUGAUUUGUGAUCCAACGGAGCAGAAUUAUACUUUAAAUCCUGAUUUAGACCUUCCUAGAAUUCUCUGGAAUGUCUUGUGCAGAAAUCUAUUGCAUAAGGCUUGAAUAUGGACCAGGUACACUCCUUGUUCUCCAAAGAAAAUCACAGCAGUGAAAACUUUCCUUCUUUUGCCUUCAAUUAAACCUUUGACGAAAUUCCCUUCCUUUAUUUGUGCGCAAUUAGAGUUCCUACAAGGGAAAUAAAAUCAGAUAGAUAUGGUAGGAAUAACAUAAUUCAAAUGACGAAUUUAAAGGAAAGAAUCUCCCUUAAUUCUCUGAUUAGCACAUAUAAAAUCCUUGAUUGCUGCAGAAUUCGUCCUCCCCUUUUUAUAGACAUUCACAGAUUCCUAUUCCAAGUUGGAUUAGGUUUUCUGAUUGCAAAUGGUUUCCCUGUCUCAUUAGAAAAGAAAGUUUCCUAAUUAUUUUAGGAAAGUCAGAAUAGGAAAAAUUCAAAAGUAGUAAGUUUCCUAAAUCAAAAUAAGAAAAUUUUUCUUAAAAUGAAAUAGGCAAGUUUCCCUUUCAAAACAGGAAAGUUUUCUAAAUGACUCCUUGCUGCACCAGGAAUCCUCCUUUGAUUAUGAUUUCCCUCAAUUCUUGCUCUUUAGCCUUAUUUUGUGUAAAACUGCCUCUUUUAACCUACAACACAGAAACAAGCUAGAAAUGAUAUUAUUAAGGAAAUAACGAAGCUAAAUAGGGUAGGAAAUACAUUAAGAAUAUAGCAUAAAAUGCGUGUAUCAAGCCCUUUAGUUUUAAAUGCCCAGUUUGCAGGCUAAGUUUAAAUGAGAUCGAGCGUACAUGGAGUCGAUGCAUAGUCAGAGGCUGCUUCCGCUUAUUCUUUAUUAUUUGUUUUUCAUUUAUUAUAGAUAUGCUCUGAUAACCAUUUGAUAUUGUUAUUAGUUGAUUAAGGCUUGAUGGGAGAUGUGAUGAACUUGGGGAGGAGGAAAGCUCCAGGAGUUGUGGGUGGAUGAUUUAUAAUAGAAGUGUUUAUCUGGAAUUUUUCAGGUAAGGGUUGUCUAUUUUCAAGGUAGAUUAUGCCUAAUUUUAGAUAAAUUUUUCUUGAAGGUGGAUCCCGCAGGAAUUACUUCGGGUUUCAAGGUGAAAUUCGGGGUGGGUCCUGACAUAGGCUACUCAUUUAUAUAAACUACCUCCUACUCAAACUCACAUUUCCUUUUUGCUACACUAGUAGAAAAAAAGGCUUAAGCGAUGGUACAUUCAUAUUUCGUAGCUUAAGCAGAUCCUAAGCGACGAAAAUAAAUAUCGUCGCUGGAAAUACAUAUUUCGUCGCUACAAUUUUCUGGGGUGACGAAAUUUUUUUAUCGCCUUAGUUUUGUCGCCACAUGUCCCACUAUGGCGACAAUAAGGUUUUUGUCGCAACUGGUUCAUGUAGCGACGAAAAUUUUAACACUUAAGCGACGAACUUUUUUGUCGCAUUAUAUUCUUCUCCUAACCGACAAAUAAACGUAUCGUUGUCUAAGUUUUAAACUAUAGCGGUGGAAUAUUUGACAAUAGAGCGACAAAACUGUUUGUCGCAUUAUAUCCUUCACUUAACCGACGAAUUAAUUGCCUGUCGUCUUAGAUGAAGACUAAAGUGACGAAACUUUGACUUUAAAGUGACCAAACUGGUUGUCGCAUGAUGUCUUUCACCUAACCGACGAAUUUACUGUUCGUUGUCUUAGAUUAUGACUAAAGCGAGGAAAUAUUUGACUUUAGAGCCACGAAAAUGUUUGUCGUAUUAUAUUCUUCACCUAAGCGAGGGCAUUUUUGACUUUAGCGACGAAAUAUUUUGUCACUUAAGUGAAUUCUUCUUUAGGUUAUGAGAAUCAACCCUUUUUUAUCUUGAUGAUCCAAAGGAGGGUGGGGGUUGGAAAGUUGUUAACAUGAUGUCACAUAGAGGUAUAUUUAUACUGCAACUACACUUGAGAUGAGUAUUGCAAAUAGAUAUUGAUAAUGUGACUCUUGAACCAUAUCAAGAAGCCUCGACGUCUAAUAUCCCCGACAUGGAGACUAUUCGCAUCAACAACGACAAUCACCUCCAACCCCACGAGUACGUUCCCAUUUUUAAUUUAGAGUUUGACUUCAGUUCAUUUCCAUUCAUCCCAUGCUCCUUGCACAUCUUUGGUAAUAAAAUUUGUUCUUUAAAAUCAUAGUCUGCCAAUCGUUGGUAAAAGAAAAUGGAACUCAAAAGAGUAAUUCAUUAAGUUUGGAAGCAACUUCAGUGAGUUAAAAAUAACCAGCAACUAAGAUCUUUGGGGGAAGAGAGAGAGAGAGAGAGAGAGAGAGAGAGAGAGAGAGAUCAAAAUCUGAAAAUUUCAACAAGUACUGAAGACACUACCUUAGACAAGUUUGAUCUAAAUUUCAGUUCCCUUGUGUCCUUGUUCCUACUAUAAGCAUAUGAACCAUAGUCAGUCCUAACAUGAUUUUCUUUACAACUAAGUCACAGCAGUAGCUAGGCUUCUAUGUAUGGGCUUAUUCCAGAGAGAACACAAAUCAGAAGUAUUGAUAAUAACAUGUAAAAUUUCAAGACAUGUCAAAGAUCAAUGACAGAAAUAAGAGUGUAAAGAAUCCCAAAUCCAUUGUUUUAUAAUAAUGAGCUGCAAAUCAGAAUAAAAACACAAUAUGAGAAAUUUUCCGGAAAUAGGUAGUAAGAAAGAAAAAUUCACCAACAAUUGACCUUUCAAUAUUUUCAUGUGAAAAUUCCCAGAAUCAAAAUAGACAAGCAAACCUACAAUGUCCCAAAAUUUCAAGUCGUUUGGAGUUUAAAUGCAUAGAGAUCCAAAGUGACUGAAAAUGCAGUUUCUGCAGAAAAUUCUGAAACACUGUGUAAGCUUCAAAAUAGCACAAGUUUCUCAUAUCAACUCCGUUUUGCUUGAAACCAAGUUUAAAACGAUCAUUGAAGAGUCUACUUUUAACUGUUAAAAACUGAGAUUGAAAGAAGAAGUUUAAGUUUUUUGAAAAUCUUGGAAAAGCCCACUGGUUCAGCUUGGUGGUGUCUUUGAGACAUACUAUCAAACAUGUGGUGUGCACUAUGUGAUCCUUGCUCUAUUUCUGUUCUAAGCAUUUUAAAGAACCUACCAAUACUAGCUAAUAGUCAAAAGUGCAUCCCAACAACAAUCUUGAACACAUAUACAUAUAAAUCUUAUUAGAGGAAGAAACGUAUUACCGAAAGAAAGUAAGUUCCAAUGCUGUUACAAAAUAGGAGGGAAGCUCACUGAUUCGUAGGCCCAAAAUCCUCUGAGUGAUCUAUCAAAGUAGAACUCAUGGAUUUAAAACAGGUUUAUAGAACAUGUAAGACAAGAAGAGACAUGGAGCUGAGCAAAUCAGAAUAAAAACACAUUUGGUUCCACAAUGAUAUAACACUAUUUUACAAACAACUAGUUAAAGUCACCAUCACAUACGCAGAUAUACAAAAAUCCAAUUCAAUCUCAGAAAAUUGAUUAUUAAAUUCCUAUAAGAUUUGAGUAUGACUCAGUGAUAUUUUUGUGCAGCAACCCCUUCUAUAUAUUUUCACAUAUAUUCCAGAUAAGAACGUACAUAUAACAAUAAGAGAUGACAAGUAAAUAUAUAGUUGAUGGAUAUCCAGACUACUUGUAAGAGAGAAAUUAUAUUCCUAUCGUGAUACUGGGAACUAAUACAUGAAUUUACAAAGCACAAAGGUAUUAAUAAGAACGAGUGUAUAAGCACUGGAACAAACCAAUAUUAGAUAUCGCAAUGAAAUAACAAUAAGUGGCAGUAGUAGCUAUGAACUCUUAAUUUUCAGAUUUUCACACAGAAAAUUGAUACAACUCCAUGAUCUCAAAACUCACCCAUUUUAGAUAAAACUUGAUUCUAUUGAAGGAGAAUAAAACCCUCUAUAGUAUAAUGUGAGCUUUAUACCCAGUUGAGGAGUUCAAGAACCAAAAACAAGUCCUUGAAUCCAACUUGUUUAAUACUGAAAUAGAAACAGCAAAAUGCCCAACUUCACAGCUCAAUAACUACCUUAAUACUCAGUCAAAUUAAGCAAAUAAUAUGUCGAUUAAUAAGUACUCGAAGUACCCAUCGAGUCUGAGCAAUCAACUACCAUCGAGUCUGAGCAAUCAACUAUGGGUUUAAGAACCAGUAAGGCAAUGCAAUUCUACUAAUAACAAAAAUUUCGACCCCAGCACUAAAGAAGCCAAUUCUAAUGAUACUAGAAUGAAUAGCUCAACAGCAAAACAAACGCUCAACAGGUGAAUUGACACAGUGAACAAAGAAUAUCAAAAUGAGUAUCAAGCAUAACACCAGAUAAUGAAAUUUUCAAAAGUUCUACUCACCUCAAACACCUUCUCCCAAGGCAAGCCUUCGACUUCUCUCCCUCUCUUCCAAAUCGCCAGAGCUCCAAUUGCUCCAUCCUCCUAAAAGCUAAUUCUUCAUUACUUUACCUCAUGUUCAAUUGUCCUCCACCUUCAAAACCUCCCACACAUCCCCACAAUUAGAACCCCCAAAAUUGCAAAUUUCCAAAAGAAAUAUAGGCUUUAGAGAUUGAAGAGUAAGGGAUUACAUUAUCGACCUCCAUGGAAACCAUACUCGAGCGGUGAAUGCAGGCACGAGAGAGAGAGGCUCUAAGAGUUCACAGAAUUGGAACUGAAGGCGGGCUCAGAAACCAAACUAAUGCAAAACACAGAAGAAUAUGAGAGUGGUCAGAAAUCGUACCAGAGGCGGCGAUGCUCAGACAGACAGUGGUAACACUACUAGAGAUGUAUCCUUUAAUGACACUUAUUUUAUGACGUUUCGGGAUAAAUGUCAUUAUAAGGGGUUUCCAUGACGUUUAAGGCAGCAAACGUCAUGGAUGUAAAACACGGAGCAAUUAUAUGACAUUUUAUAAACGUCAUGGUAAAACACUUACCAUGACGUUUAUUUUUCGUCAUCAAUAGGUUUCAAUGAUGGUUUCGGUCUGUCAUGCAUACUGUUUGGGCCAUGACAGUUUAUUACUGUCAUCAAAAGUUUUGGGAAAAAUUUUGACACUGUGCCCAAAAUUUGGCUUCGCGCCUGACCCAAAAUUUGGCCCUAAAAUUUUGAGUUACAGUUUGAGUUCGUUCAUUUUAGUUUUAACUCACUUGCCUAAAAUUUAUCUCACCCAAACUCGAUCUCAAACUUCACUUUCCAAUUUCUCUCUUGCAAAUCAGUCACCCAAACUCAAUCUCACACUCAAUCCGAAUCUCAUCCCAAACUCGAUCUCUCACCCAAAUCAGUCACCCCUCUCCCAAAUCACAUCCCCAAAUCUAACACCCCUCUCCCAAAAUCUCAUCCCCAAAUCUCAUCCAAAUCUGUCACACUGCUCUUCGCCCUAAUCCCAAUUGUUUGAGAGUAGAAAUAGCUUCUGGACAAGAAGAGAAACCCAAAGAACAAAAGAUAGAGAGAGGAAAAAC
rnacentral:lncRNA from 1 species